AUACCGGCUGCUCGAGUGAUGUCCACUAUUACUGGGUUUAAAGCGUCCGUAGCUUGACUGUUAGGUCUCUUGGGAAAUCUUUUGGCUUAACCAAAAGGCGUCUAAGAGAUACCGGCAUUCUUGGAACUGGGAGAGGUAAGCCGUACUUCGGGGGUAGGAGUGAAAUCUUGUAAUCCUCGAGGGACGACCUAUGGCGAAGGCAGCUUACCAGAACAGCUUCGACAGUGAGGGACGAAAGCUGGGGGAGCAAACGGGAUUAGAUACCCCGGUAGUCCCAGCCGUAAACAAUGUGCGUUAGGUGUGUCGGUUACCACGCGUAACUGAUGCGCCGAAGAGAAAUCGUGAAACGCACCACCUGGGAAGUACGGUCGCAAGGCUGAAACUUAAAGGAAUUGACGGGG
rnacentral:rRNA from 1 species